AGACAUAGAUCGAGUGGCAUUUGAUAACGUAAAGUAAAAUGACACUAGAGGUAGUGUGAGGUAAAGAAUCAGUGUAAUAUAAAGAAUGAUGAUAAUGACUAAAAUGAAAACAAAAUGGGGCGUAAAGAACAAUGAUUGCUAGAGUUAGCAAAAAUAAAGAAAGGUAAAGAACAUGAUUGCUAGAGUUAGCAUAAGUAAAGAAAGGUAAAGAACAAUAAUUGCUAGAGUAGCAACAUAAAGUGAUGUAAAGAACACUAGAGUUAGUGUAAAG
rnacentral:lncRNA from 1 species